AAAAGCUCAAGGACGUACAUACAGUAGCUCUAAACCUGCAGUGGUGUGGGGGAUGUUUCUUGACUGAUAUUGGAAGUGUAGAAUUAGCAUAAUCAGCAGUCAUUACUCCAGAGUCUCUGGACUCUUUGAUACUCUUGCUGUGAGCAGAAUGUGCUUCAACAUGCUGUGUUCCACUCAUUGAGAAAAUGAAAGAUUUGAAGAGACUGUGGAUUAAUGAUCUCCAGUUGGCCAGUUUCACUUGUGUAGGUAACAGCAGAUGGCAGAAGAGGGGCAGUCUGACAAAAUGGUGUCUGACAUGGAAGUGCGGAUGAAGCAAAGGUGUGUCACUGACUUCCUUCAUGUGGAAAAAAUGCCACCCACUGACAUUCAUCAGUGCUUGCUGAAUGCUUAUGGAGACCAAAAAGUGGAGAGCAUGUUCCCUAGCCUCACAGACCUCAGAUCUGUAGUUGAAGCACUGGAGCUGAAACCGUAUCAUUGGCACUGGGACAACUAGGCUGGACUUGGAUAAUUCCAGAAUCCUCACUGCAAGACCUGAUACAUCUUCUCAGAUGGGACAGUUAAGCAGUUUCACUAUUACUUGCUCUCCUUCUUCCCUAUUCCCCUGUGGUUGAUUCACACAAAAAUAAAUUAUCUUCAUCAGCUAUACUUUUCAUGCACAGCUCUUGGUCUAGGCUGCUGGUUUAAAAGAUCUGAAUUAAAAUCUAUUUACUUCCAGUGUCACGUUGAAAUACUGGUUUAUUUGCAGGAAAUGUUUCAUUUUGUUUUUCUUUUAGGAUUCUUUUUUCUUUCACUUCCUUUAUUUUAAGAUAUAUUUUACCACUUCCUAUUUCAGCCUUUGUAUAAGUACUUGUUGAUAAUCUAUUAUUUUUUCUAAUUAUAUUUUUAUAUCUCCUUUAUUCAGUGUACUGCUGAAGGAAAAGCAGAACAAUAAUAAAAGUAAAUGAGCUAUAUGGUUGAGAUGAAAAUUAAAUAGCCUUUCUGAAUUUGUCAGUUUUCUACAUAGUUUUUAUUUGAGAGUUUAUUAUAAAUGCAACCAUGCUGAAUUGAAGUUGUAAAGACUUGUUCUGCCUUUCCCUACUUCCUUUGUGCUUGCUUUUGUGGCUGUGGUGAAGCAUGAAGUAUUCAAUUUAAUAAUUACAUUUAAAAGAAAGUUAAUUAUACAAAGCUGCUCUGUGCCACAUCCACAUAAAUACAUUUAGUUGUCAAAUUUGCUGAAAUUUGAAUCUCCCUGGAAGAGCAUUAGUAUUACAAUUUUGCACACUUCAACAGCAGCUAUGUAAAUACUCAACUCUGAAAUCAAAUGCUAAUUUUUCCCAAGGAUUAGAUAAGUCAUGUAGCUAAUAUUUUUGUUGACUUUUAUCCCAAUAAGAUUUGCACUGUCCUACUUACAAUGUGAAAAAAUAGAUUUCUGGUUAGGACACUUGGCAAUCACGGGGAUGUUGCAGUUCAGAUCCAGUUGUUGAUGUGUUCUCAUACAUUUUCAGUCACAUCAUGUUUUUAAAACAUGCUCAGUCAUAUUUUUAGGAUAUGUUGAUUUUUUUGUGUGUUUGGAGGUGAAGACAAUAUUUUACACAGUCAUAUAUACUGUAAGCUGCUAAAUAGCAUAUCCUUUUAAUGUGACAAAUAUCUAUACUGUUAGCUAACAUGGACAGUGCAAUCUCAUUGUGGGAGUUAAAUGAUGAGAUGAAAUAGCCCAUGAUCUUGGAAAUGUGGGUUACAGUUUCUUAGGUAUUACAGACUAUAUCACUAAUGAAGCAAUUUGUUCUGUGUCCACUCACAUUUCAUUUGCUGCCAUCAACAAUUAAGAGAUGUCGUAGUAAGGUCAUCGUAGAUUAACACCUUGUCUUUGCAAAGAUCUCAUUAAAAUAGAGAGGAAUUCUAAUUCCUAGCCAAGAUAAUGUUAAUUUGAUGAGAGAAUAAAUAUUGUGGAAGCAAUUUGUGCAAGAGAAAUGAAUGUUAAAGGUAUUAUUCUCUUUUCAAUAAAAGAAGUAAUUCUUACAUGGAAAGAUAGCCUAUUGAAAAAAAUAGUCAGACAUGUUACUGCAGGAAAUGGUUAGAUACCUUGGCCUGGUUAAGGAAGCAUGUCAUGUUGUCCGAGAUUUGCACAGAUGUGCAGAGCCAUAAAUAAAUUGAACAGAAAAUAAGAUUUCUCCCUUUGCUGGUUGCCAGUGUUACAGUUAAACUACAAAGAAAGUAAUUUCUCCAACCAUCAUACAUUUACUUCCCAGUCAUCCUCGAAUGCUUGUAACAGUGAAGGGCGUUGUAAUUGACAUUUCAUUCUAAUACACUGGCUGCCUUGCCUGAAUUUUGGCUGGUUGAUAAGGCUCUUGGAAAUCCAGAGUCUCAUCAUGUCCUGAACAAUUUCAAUCCAGCCCUAUGGCAAUCUAAGCGCUUAACCAGCAAAACAGGAAAGACAAUAUUUGGAGAUGCUACCUUUCAAAAUGCACACAGCAGAGUAACUGAAAUAAUCAAAUUGCUCCUGAAUAAUCCUUUUUCAAAUUUGAAAGCAGAAUGAAGAAAAGAUUUAAAAGAAUAUACAUGUCAAUUUAAGCAAAUAAAAUGUGCAGACAUGAAUUCAUCACAACUGUAUUGUCACUGACGUUGCAUUUCAGAUAAAUUUGAUGAUAAUAUCACAUUUUUUUAAAGGAGGAAAAAAAUCAAUAAUUUUGUCUACAGACUUUGCAUUAUAUUCCAGUUACUUGAAAGAAAAUGUCAUGUGCAUCAACUCAUUCUUCAGGAUGUACUUUCUGAAAAGAUGUGGAUAAUAUUACAUAGACUAAGGGGAACACAGCUACGUUUGAGCUGCUUUAAGGCAAUGGUCCAUGUGCAUGCCCUACCAUGUGGAACCCUGUUGAGAAUCAGAGUUUAUUCAGUAACUCUAAUCCCAGUUUUGUCCACUUCUGUGUCUGCAUUUCUUUAACUGGUCACUGAAUCACAAAAUCACAGAAUUGCAGAAAUUGAAAGAGACCUCAAGAGAUCAUCGAGUCCAGCCUGCCCCUGCUAAAGCAGGUACCCUACAAGAGGUCACACAGACAUGGUUUCAUCUGAAGAUUUACUGAUGGCCCACUUAAUCACCUUGUCCAGAUCAUCAAUGAAGAUAUUAAACAGGACCAGCACUAAUACUGACCCCUGGAGAACACCAUUUGUGACUGGUCACCAGCUAGAUUUAACUCCAUUCACCACCACACUCUGGGUCCAGCCCUCCAGCCGGUUCUCUACCCAGUGAAGACUGUACCUGUUCAAGCCAUGGACUGCCAUCUUUUCCAGGAGAAUGCUGUGGGACACAAUGUCAAAGGCUUUAUUCAUGUCUAGGUGGACUACAUCCAUAGCUUUUCCCUCAUCUACUAGGGAAUUUUUGUAGUCAUGAUCCAAAUUUUCAGAAGGUAUCUCUGUAUCCUGAUGAAGAGAUCUUUUAAAUGGCUCAUUGAAGGAGACUCAGAUUGCCUAGAAACUGAUGCGCAUUAUGGUUCCACACCCUUACUCAUAAUUUUUAUAAUUAAUAAAAAUUCAGAGAGAAACUCCUUCCAUUUUAAAUUUGCCCAUAGCACUCCUGUGCUAGAGUUUAGAAUUCUCGACUCUGAAGAUAAACGGAAAAUUAUUUUUUCUAAUUGUAUCCAGGAGCUUUUAUGUAGCAUAUUUUAAAAUGUCACAAAAUAAUGAAGUUUAGAUAAGCCAUUAAGGAAAAAACAUGUUUUUCAACUGAGUAAAGAUGCCAGCAAUUCAAACAAUAGUGCUGCAUUUGUCAGAUAAUUAGCCAAUGAUUGUCUUUUGAACUCUGAAAAUAAAUUUAGAAGGAGCAGAUAUGCUGUGCUGUAAAAUGUGAGAGCUUUCAGAGUUUUUUUUUCUUCUUCUUUUUAAGACUUUUGCUUAAAGAUUUUUUUUUGAAGUGUUUUCUAACUAAGUACUUGAAUUAUGUACACAUGAAUAGCCUUUAAGGAAAUCAUACAGGUCUCUUCAACUAUAUGCUAUACAGAUUUUAAUUUUACAGAUUUUUAUUAUUUUAGUUCCACUAAAUGCUUUUAGUUAAGGUUGACCAAAAUUUUCCCCUUUGAGACCAGUUUUUAAAUUCCUUGUAAUUGCCAUAUUUAAACUGUUCAUGCUGUUGUGCCCCAUGCCAUAUGUCUACUCUGGGAUGAAUCAGUUUGGAAAAUUCCAUAAAAAUGGCUCAGUAGUUUUGCAGUAUUGACAAAAAUGCUUUUUUUUUCCCCCCAUAACUAAUAUAUUAUGCUGAAGCAGUUAACUUGAAUACUGUUGUUAUUUCCUAAUGAACCUCUGUUUAUGUUGUAUUGAUGUCCUGUAGAAAUGAGUCCAAAUGAAACUUCUGAUAAAAUCUUAGUAACUUGUGGGAAUACAAGAAAAACUGUUCAGAGGAGCAGCUGUGGAGCAAGAUAAACAGCAGUAAGCAAAAGAGCAAAACAAACAAAAAUUGAUCUCUCCUCCCAGCUAUUCAUUUUACUAGGGAUCAAACUCUAUGGUCAAGUAAAAGUUUUUGAUGAACGUUACUUUAGAAUAAAUAUAUCUAAUUAAUUGAAUAGUACUUAAAACGUCAUUUCAACUCUACACAUUUAUUUUUUAGGUGCAAAUCUUUCCCAAGAAUAUUCACAGAACAGAGAAUCAGGCGUAAAACCUAUCUACAUUUACACACUACUUUUUGACAGCAACAUCUUAAAUGUACUAUACUAUUCUGACAUUUUUAAGAGAACUUUUAAGAGAAAAUACUUGUGAGUAUCUGCAGUUCAAAUUUAUGCUAUUCUUUCUUUAUGGUAACUCACAAUAUUGUACACUAACUAUCAAAAGAAAGAAAUUUGUGAUUCCCCUGCAAUAUUUGCCUUUGGAUAAAAGAGGAAAAAAAAUCUAAUGCCUUCACAGACUGUAAUAAGUCUAAAAUUCACAAACUAAACCUCUAGUUCUAAUAACAUGGAAAACAUGCUUAACUCUGGUCACUCAAAUACUUCAGGGUAAGUCCACCUUCAUCUGUUGAAUACUCUUGCAUCCUCAGCACAGUAGCCAGGAAAAUUGACUGUGUGACAUAUCCAAGGUUUUUUUUUGUUUUGUUUUUACCAUGGAAGCCACUCUGUGUUCAUGUGCCUGCUUAUCCUACUGCUUGUUGUUGGUUUAGCCUGGCAGGCAGCUCAGCACUACACAGCCGCUCAUUCUGUUUCUGCCACACUCUUCCUCGCAGUGGGAUGAAUGAAAGAAGUGGAAAAAAGGGUAAAACUCGUGGGUUGAUAUAAUUGCAGUUUAUAAAACAGGAAAGGAAGGGAAAAUAAUGAUAUUGGUCUUAGAAGCCGCUAUUUCCCCUCUCCCUACCCCCCUUCUGGACAACUCCCCCAGUUUUAUUGUUCCAUAUAAUGCCAGAUGGCAUGGGAUAUCUCUUUGGCUAGUUUGGGUCUGUUGUCCUGAUUCUGUCCCUCCCCCCAGCUUCUUGUGCACCCUCAGCUCCUCACUGGCAGAGCAAUACAAGAAGCAGAAAAAACCUCAGUGCUGUGCAAGCAUUGCUAUGCAACAGAUAAAUAAUCGGUGUGCUGUCAACAUUAUUGUCAUCUGUCUCGAUCCAAUUUAUCGAAGAGAGAGGAGGUUCUUUGAUAUAUGUAUACCCAGCAUGAGAUUAAGAAACAACGGUUCAAAUGUUGGUCCGACCAGUUUAUUAUAAAUUCUAGUUGUUCAGGGAGAAGGGGAAGGGAGAAGGGCAAUAGAAAAGAUAGGAAAUGGAAGCAAGGAGUCUGUGUAGGAAGCAAGAGGGAGAUAGUCACCACCAUGGGUUCAAUGUGGUUCGUAGGUCAGUCCUCGAUCUUCAGUAGUGGUGGGUCAUCAGGCGUUGUUGUUCUGUUGACAAGUGUCCACGGCGACGGUGACGAUGGCGACGACAAUGACUGCAAUGGCAAUACAAACUUAUUCAUAAGUCCAAAGUGGUGGAGUCAGCUUUCUUUUGAGUGACAGCUCGAAUCCAAAGUGGUUGAGUCAGCUCUCCUUGGAGUGGCAGCUACUGGCUCUGGGAUCUUAGCAGAAACUGCUUUGUGACCAUCUUCCAGGCCUUGCCAGCAGAUAAGAGGGAGCAGGAAUGCCCAUCUGCAUCCUGUUUUUCACAGGGCACGAUGGUAUCAUUCCCCAAUUUUCCCACACCAAGCUGCGUCUAUUUAGUCACAGGCCAAAUCUUCCGCUAGAAACCACUCCUGAGCACUCUCUUCCAGAGACAAACAGCUCCAAAGAAGUGCUUUCAAAUGUAAAAUUGUCCACACAGUGACGUGUAUUGCCACAGGGCAGCACCCACCUCUCAUCUAAGUCAGAGUCUUAUCGCAAGAAAUGCCUCAGAAAGCAAGCUUUGAGCCAAAAACCAAAGAAGGAUUUAUACAUCAUCCUAAAUACAAAAUGCAGCACCAUACCAGCUACCAGGAAGAAAAUUAACUCUAUCUCCACAGAAAGCACACUGCUUUCUUCUCACAGUAUGGAAUUUGAGGAGGGCUAAAUUAUACCCACUCACAAGGGAACUUGGUAUUGUUUCUCAAUUUAGUAAGCUAGCAUAAUAAGUAUAGCUUUGGAAAAGUAGGCAGACUCUCUGAGUAGGUAAGUACACAAAUAAGUUAUUUGCAGAUAGAUAAAGGACAGAAAAUGAAAUGGAAAAUAAAAAUAUAUUUGCUUGCCAAAUUACACUUUAUAAUGUGAUCGUAACUCUUUAUUUUUGUGUUUCGUGUAUAUAAUUUAUUUUUCUGUACCAACACUUCAGCUGAAAUCUCCCAGAGGAUCAUUAUUUAUCACUGAUUUAGAAUUAUAAAAUGACAAAAGACUUCCACUAAACAUAUUAUUAAAAAAAAAAAAAAAAAAAACACACACAACAAAAAAACAGUCAAUCAGUGUGUUGAAAUUAAUGGCAAUCUACAAAAUUUCAUUAUACUCAAUCACCAUUUAGCACACGAAUAAAGAAAAUUAAAGUUUCUCUUUUUUCACUAUCUAUCUGCCCUGGCUCAUUUUAGUUGCUUCAGCAGCUCUCUGAAAAAGAUAUAUGUUACCACAUCUCCUCAAGGGUACUAGAUAUGUGCUAUUUCUGAUUAAGGAGACUUCACUAAGAAUGUCCUGCCAAUAUUCUUAUCCCUUUUACAGCUAGAAGGAUCCUACUUGAGUGACAUCUGACGUGUCAUGCUUGAGGUGCAACUGUAAGACCACUAUGCCUGAGAAGACAGUAAUGGUUUUCCAGAUCAGUUCAGAAAGAACAGGCCUUGUCUUUUAGCUUUCAAGAGCUUAUCACAAUGUUGAUCAUCCAGGACAGGUGACUAAUUUAGUCUUUGUUGCUGUUUGACUUUAAGCUCAGAGUUACAGAAUCACAGAACCGCAGGAGUUGGAAGGGAACCCGGGAGAUCAUCAAGAUCAACUCCACUGCUAAAGCAGGUUCCCUACAGUGCACAGGAAAGCAUUCAGAAACAUUGUGCUAUUGUAUAAAUUGAAAACAGAAGCAGUAAUGGACAACAGAUAUCUCAUACCAUUCAGAACACAGCCUCUACUGAAGUGAUCCUGUCCCUCUACUCUGUGCUGGUGAAGCCUCACCUGGAGAACUACAUCCAGACGUGGAGUGUGGAGACAUGGAGCUGUUGGAAAGUGUUCAGAGGAGGGCCACAAAUAUGAUCCAAGGAAUGGAACACCUCUCCUUCGAGGACAGGCAGAGAGGACUGGGGCUGUUCAGCCUGAAGAAGAGAAGGCUCCGAGGUGACCUGAUAGAGGCCCUUCAGUAACUAUAGGGGAGCUACAGGAAAGAAGGGGACAGACUCUUUAGCAGGGUCUGUGUGUGUGAAAGCACAAGUGGAAAUGAUUUUAAACUAAAGGAGGGGAGAUUUUGAAUGGAUAUAUGGAAAAAAAAAAUUACAGUGAUGGUGGUGAGACAUAGGAACAAGUUGCCAAGAUGUAGUGGAAGCUUGUCCCUGUAGGCAUUCAAAGCUAGGCUGGACCAGGCUCUAAGCAAUCUGCAGAUGUCCUUAUUCAUUGCAGGGGAGCUGGACUAGAAGAUUUUUAUAGCUCCCUCCAAACUCAAAGGAUUCUAUGAUUCAUUUACAUUGCCUUAGUGCUGUUCUGUUAAUGACAUGCAAUAACACCAGAAAUAAUAAAAAAAUGUGCAAAGAAUGAUGUGACUUACUAGCUGUUUAUUGAACUCCUAGAAUCCUAUUGUAAAGAUGAUAUGAUCCACAAGAAAGUGAAAAGAUAAUAUUUGCCUUCUUUUUCUACAUAUCAGUACACUUUCUAACUACUGGCAACAUGGUCAUUGUAUAAUCUGUGUUUAUGAUAAAUAGGUAACUGCUCCCAAAAUAUACUUACGGUUUGCCUCAUCAAAUAAAUCAUUAUUGGUAGUACAGAUUUCUAACACCUAUACACUAAAGGAGAAAAAUUGAUAAAUCUAUAUAUUUUGAUAACUUGUAAUCAGAUCAUAUUCAUAUGGACUUAAUUUCUUAUUAGACAUUUAUUUUUAAUUUGUUUGCAUCAGUACAACUAAUGAGUUAUGUGACCUUGUAAAUAUUUGCAUUGGUCUGUUGCACUGAUAAAUUAUAGUCACAAAUAGCUGUAUUGGGACAUUGGCCUAGAUAUUAUUUUAGGGAAGAUUAUCACUGGGAGGAACACAUAAGAAUUAGUGAAAUGCAUUGACAUUUAAAACUGAAUUGCCAGUUGGACUUGUGGUCAUUUGCAUGUAUUUAAGGCUGAUGAUCUAUCAACUUUUGAAAAAAGUGUACUCUGGACCCAUUCAGUUAUCAGCAAAGCAACUGCCUUAUCUAAACUAGUGAUCCAGCUACUUCUGUGGAAAUAGGCAACAAAUCACCUUGGAAGGGAUAUUUAAUUAACCCAUUCAAUUUCUCUGGUGAAAUUACCUUUUCUGACUGUAGAUAGAGUUCCAGCGACUAAGAAUUAGAUACAUAACAUUCAAAAGCUUAAAGCUGUAAAGAAUAAUUUCCCCCCCCUCCCUCAAAAUUUCUUUCUACUUGAUUAUUACAGUUUUCUAAAGUACCUAGAUAGAUUUGCUGAACAUCUACUAUAGUUUCUUGUUUUGAUUUGAUAAAUUUUGCAAUUCUUUUCACUUAUAGUUUGGUAAUAAUUAUUGUAAUUUUUCUCUAGCCAGGCCUCUGAAAGAAGUGUUUGGAACCUAAUUUGUUGUGAUUUUGUUGCUUAUGAUGAAUAGAACAGAGAGUUUAAACUUAUUCAAAUAUCAGUGAAUAGUUCAGAUAAGAGUAGGUGUCUUCAAAUUAAAGAUGUUCCCACUAUCUGUACUGCUACAGUGACUGGAUAAUUUGCAGAGAUAUAAAAGAAACUCUCAUAUUCACCAAGGUAUCAGUGACAAGUAUUUAGAUG
ensembl:lncRNA